AGCAGCCGCGGUAAUUCCAGCUCCAAUAGCGUAUAUUAAAGUUGUUGCAGUUAAAAAGCUCGUAGUUGAAUUUCGGGAUUAAUAUGUUGGUCGUGCCUUGGUACGUACUGGCAUUAUUGAUUCCUACCUUCUGAAGAACCUCGAUGUCAUUAAUUUGGUGUCUUGGGGAAUCAGGACCGUUACUUUGAAAAAUUAGAGUGUUUAAAGCAGGCUCGCGCUUGAAUACAUUAGCAUGGAAUAAUGAAAUAGGACGUUUGAUUCUAUUUUGUUGGUUUCUAGGAUCGACGUAAUGAUUAAUAGGGAUAGUUGGGGGCAUUAGUAUUCAAUUGUCAGAGGUGAAAUUCUUGGAUUUAUUGAAGACUGACUACUGCGAAAGCAUUUGCCAAGGAUGUUUUCAUUAAUCAAGAACGAAAGUUAGGGGAUCGAAGACGAUCAGAUACCGUCGUAGUCUUAACCAUAAACUAU
rnacentral:rRNA from 1 species